AUUUUAUUCUUUAAAUUAUUUAUUUAAUAUUUACUAUUAUUUAUUAUUUAUUAUUUAUUAUUAUUUUAUUUAUUUAUUUAUUUUCUUUCUUAGUUAGAAAGAAACGAACGAGAUAUUUUUUUCAUUCCGUUUCUUUCACGGAAUCUUGUUUCGUUCAUUUCUCGUAACGACAAAGAGCGUGAAAUUUUCUUUCCUUUUAUGCCAUUUUUUUUUCUCUUUGCUCAAAACAGAGCAGGUGGAAGGAUAUCAGAUAAUUGGUUAAUCAUAAUCUGUUCAUCAUUUUAUCUUCUAAUGUUUUUUCUUAUCUACUGGGUGUUGAAAUAAUUUCCGUCAAUCUCCUUCACGAUCGUGCUCACAGGAGAAGGAAUAUCUUGGGAUGUUAUUUCUGGUUAAUCCCGCACGUAAGGACGGUAAUACGCUUUAGGGCAGUACUUCGCACGCUUCCGUAUAAGAUCAUAUCUUUAUUUGGAUAUUUGCGUUUAUCGUUUGAUUUUAUUUUUACUACAAAUUAGUUAGAUUCUAAUCAACAAUCUAAGGCUUAGUUCUCAAUCUGAUUGUAAUUAAAAAAUCUAACGCAUGCUAAUCAUUAAAAUAUAUAUAUAUAUAGAGCUAGGCUACUAUACUAUCGGUAGCACGGAGGGCUCCGUGCUACCAAGUUGUUUUCGAUGAUGCGGCUUCCAAAUUGACGAUCGGCUCCGUUAGACUUGAUCUACAUAAUUAAAAGUAUUUAGAAACUAAAUUUCAUAAUUUUUCGAUAUCAUUUACCUAACAAAUAAGUAGUCUAAAAUUGAACGGCUGAAAAUAAAAAUCUCUUUAUUAGAAUACAUGUGUCAUUAAACUAUAAUGUAAUGAUGUCACUUGAUUUUCCGCAUUACGUCGUAAUCAUCAUUAGAAUUAGUGUAUACACUUUAAUGAUCAAUCCGACUCCAUUGGUUAUUACGACGUAUUACGCUUGGUUUACCCAAGAAUAGGAAUCUUUUGGAAAACUCAAUGGGUACUGUGAAGUCGAAGCGUUCCAACUCUACGAAGUCAGGGAAGUGCGAUAAUACAAAGUCAAGGGUAUCAUCGAAGAUUUUCCUAGGUUUUAACACGCAAAACUCAAACACAGUGAUAGUUCCCAUCUACCCACUAUCUAAAGUGCUACGCACACUGUUAGAGGGGGUGGAUAACACGUCUGCGAAAGCAGAACGCGAUCACAUACAAGAGCAAGCACAUCGGAGCUAGUAUCAAGCAGCACGGAAGUGUGUGCAGUUUAGAGCUCGCGACGACGAUAUCAGGCGUAGGUGGAGGCGUGGUAGGGGUUCACGGAAAGGAGAAACUCAUACUAGCGAUCGGUCAACAUACACGCCUAUUCAAACAACCGUACAAGCUGGGCAGCUUACACCAACAGGAAGAGUUGUACGUACGUGUGCGAUGGCUCAACGCCCUGAGGGCGUACAGGAAAAUCCGAGAAAGAGCCUAAACGCAGACUGUCUUGAUGGAUUGAGAGUUAACCCAUUUUCGACGAGGUUCUUGAGAGCUCCGAACAGUAGGAACGAGAGUAGGAAGAGGAGUUCCUGGUGAUGAUGGAGCUGGGAAGACACGAGGUGGAGGAGCGCAUCGACAUCACGACUUUCCCAAACUAGGAAGCAGCGCAGGGAAGAGAGGGAAUAUAACGCUACGAGAUGGGGAGAAAACCGGAGAGAACGGAAUUCAUCGAACGGUACUAGCGAAAACCAAGUGAGCCAAUCACGGAUAGAGCAGAACUCCGGACGCUGGAGCUGGACCCGUGGCUACAGGACUUCGUUGUGUAGAACGCGCAGAUCGAACAGCAACGCUGCACCUUCUAGACGGAACUUUAUGAGGUCUACUACCGUCUUACAACGGUACCGACGCUGUUGUAGGAGGAGAUAGUUCGCUUCGGAGAGAAGGGUGUUUGAGUACCAGACUCGAAUACGCCUCGUAGCGAAGAAGUGAAAGCAACAUUGAAAGAGAACGUCCCGGGCGAGGCAAGAGGCUCCUACACCGGAGGAAGCGCUCACGGACACCGAAAAACGAAGAAAGGAUGAACCAGACAAACCCAAGGCCGUGUAAUAGUUGCGGUUGUCGUAAACUGUUGCUGUACCAAAAAGGGAGCUUGGCCGAGACUAUGGUUGACAGUACCUGAAUACGAAGAUUGAGCGUUUUCGAACACAACACGGGCGGAAAGGCGAGUCUCUACCCGUUCAGAAGGAGUGAGAACAAUCAGAUGAUAAACAGGAUUUUGAUUCAACGUUCUUUUUCUCUAUGAAAACCCCAUUACUUUUUAAUAUAUUGAAUAACUUUACCUCAUGUUAUAAAACCUUCACACCCCGAACCCUUUCUGGAUUCUCAGCAAUAAAUAGCUGGAUAACGGUAAUAAUGUUUAUUUCUAGGUGGUAAAUAACAAAGGUCUCUUAGAUUUCUUGAUUCACUGAAAAUACAGAGACAGAUACCGAGAAGUUAAAUGACGGAUGUAAAUAAGAAUCUUUUGAUAACUCAACGGGCACUGUGAAGUCGAAAGGUUACAACAAUUCGAAACCAAGAGUAUGCGACACUAGGAAGCCGAGGGUGUCAUCGAAGACCUUCCUAGGUUUAACCCGGGAAAACUCAAACACAGUGAUAGUUCCCGUCUGCUCGCUAUCUAAAGUGCUACGCGCACUGUAGGACAUGAGAAAACAUAUGUUUUCAGAAACAAGAGUAUUGAGCAAAUGUUACUAUCUCUCAAACUAAGUUACUAGAUAUGACAAUUUGUACGAGAUCACAAAACUUAACAGAUCUUUGGUUUGAAGUACUAAAAAGUUCUAAUAAGAGUUCAGAUAAUUCACUUAUAUUUUACGUAUGAGUUUUAGUUUGUUGAAAGAUUAUCAUCUUCUAACCCAAAAAGCUAAGUAAUAGCCUCAAUAACUAAACCUAGAUCUCUCACUUAUCUCUUUAUAUAUAUAUAUAUAUAUAUAUAUAUUCUACUUGGCUUGUUUUAUUAAAUAUAUGUGACAUUAGACUAUAACGUAUAUACGUCACUUGGUUUGCUGCAUUACAUCGUAGUCAUUAUUAAACUUAGCAUCUACGCUUUAAUGAAGAGUGUGGGGCUCCGGGAAAGACAUUUUGGAAAAAUCUUGUUCCACGUUAAACUUCGGGUCUCAAUCAACUUUUGCGAAUAAAAGAGAAAAAUUUAAAUCGGAACGGAUGCCCUGCUUGUCUGGGCGGUGUUUGUAUCCCUAAAGAGACAGGUGUACCUAUCUCAGAGAGGAUAUAAACGUACUAUAUGGUUGGAUUAUGUUAUAGUGUUGGUAGUUAGAGAUGAAUGUGUUUGGUAGUUAGGCAUAGUAUGUGGUACGUACUCGUACGUUCUAAGAGUAUGUCAAUGCGCUAGGAAUCGUCUCUACUACGCACGUAAGUAUGUCGAUGCGUUAGGAAGCGUUUCUACUACGUUUACGUGUUUGUUGUUAGUUUCUUUAAGAAGAUAGUAAACUUUCAUAAAGAGUGGGGCUUGGAAACAAAAUUUUAGAUCUUAAUACUAUUUUGGUUUUUUAAAAACUUUUAGUAAAGGGCUUGUCUUUGAGUCGGAGAACUUUUGGUUGAUGGUACUCCCUAUACUUUGGUAAAAACGGUAUUUUAGUAUUUGGUAACGUUAUUAAAGAUUUAUCUUUAAAUAUUAGAAUAAUUUGGUUCAUCGUUCGUAGGUUAAAAUGACUUGGUGGUGUCAGAUUCAAUUGGUUUCAAUUGUAUUCUCAAUUCUAUUGUUCUAUUGGCAUCGUCUUUUAAUUCAUCAAGUAACCUGGUGAUUUUGGGAGAUCAUUAUAGCUUCGGAACGUGGUACGGUACUGGUUGGAGUGGGGGCUAUGGUGGACAUUUUUAUCACCCCACUCUUUGGUUGAAUUCUAUAAGGUCACUGAUGCUGUUUCGGUACUUCCGUUUCGGCAUUAGUAGCCUUAGACUCCUAUCAGUUCUCUCUCUAUAUACAAGUCGAUCUUACUUUUCGGAUAUCACCGUUCUAUAUAUAUAUAUAUAUAUAUAUAUAUAUAUAUAUAUAUAUAUAUGAUGAAUAUUUUCGCACUCAAAACUUAAAAAAGGAGAAAGGGUUUUAUGGCCAGGGAUAAUUAUAUUAAGGUUAGUAUAUGAUUAUUAUAGUAAGUAAGUUGAAAUUACCUUAUUUAGUGUCAGUAUGUUAAAAAUAAAAUAAAAAUUUAAUAGUAUUUUAUAUAAUUAAGAAUCAAUAAUCUAGAUUAGGUUACUGACUGCUUAAUUCAUAGACAGUGAAAAAAAUGGAUUUAACGGGAGUUUAUCAUGCAUAGUUUAAAAUGAAAAAUAUACGUACAGUAUAGAAGAUUAUUGGCGGUGGAUGUAUUAUAGUAUAAAAUAUUGUUUAUUAUAAGCGUAAAGAAUUAUAAAAUAAAGAGUGUGUUUUAUAGGCGGUGGAUAUAUUAUAGACUAGUGUAUUAUGGAAGGCGUAUAUAUUAUAAAUUAGUAUAAAAAAUUUUCCACUUAUAUAUUUUUAAUAGAAUUAAAAUGGAUAAUUAUAAACUUUAUACUCUAUAAAAAAGUUAUUUUAUAUUGUAUAUUUAAAUGUUAAAUUUUAAAAUUUAAACAUCUAUUUAUACUAAGUGUUUAACUAUAACUAAACUCUAUUAAUAAUUUUAUUAACAACUAUGUCUGUUUGGAAAAAAAUCAGCCUUUUUUAUAACGUAAAGUAAACGCUCUUAUCUUUCUUUAAAUAUGAAUAGGUUUAAAAACAGUUGACUUCCUAUAAACGACAUUUUAUAAAAAGUGUUCGCGGGGUAUUUUAUUAUAAGGUAUGAAUAUUUUUUUUGUUUUUAGAGAUACGUUGUUUGUAACUUUUAUAAAACAUAGAUGAUAGAGAGUUAAUCGAUUAAUUUUUUUUUCCAAACUUUUUAUUUUACUAAAUUUAUUCGAAUAGUUUAGUUGAAAUUUAAAAUUUAAACCAAGUAUUAAAGUUUACACUUAAUUAUAAAAUUAAAUUUUAAACUUUAAUUAAUUUUAAAAUUAUAAAACCCACACAUUUGUCAUAAAGUUUAACUUUUAUUAAUUAAUUAAACUUUUAUAUAGUUAAAACUUUUUAUCUACCCUACUAUUUAUUUAAUUACAGAAAUUAUUAAUAAAUAUAACUUUAAUUCCUAAGUUUUAAUUAAAGUUUUAAAUUCAAAAUAAGUAUUUAAAUUUAGACUUAAAUAAUUAAAUUUUAAAUCUUAAUGAAGUUUAAAAUUUUAAACCUAUGUGUAAUUUUUUUUUAAUUACAAUCUUUUUUUGAUUGACUAUUUAUUUAAAUAUGGUGGUUAUUAAUGAAUUUAAAUUUUAUAAUUAUAUUUAAAUUAAAUUAAUUUACAAUGCACGUAACGUGCACGUGAUAUUGAUCAUAUAUAUAUAUAUAUAUCAUUUAGUAUACUUAACAGAUUAAAUUAAAAAAAUUAAAAUAGUUAUUUUACAACAUCUUGCACAUUUCAUUUAUAUCAAUCAAAUAUACCUAUCCACAUUUACAUACUAACAAGGAAAACCGUUCAACAGGCCACAUCAUGACACCAUCAACGCUUAAAUCGAUGUUUACGGUGAAUGAGAGACACAGCCUCGGAAGAACAUACUAGGCAAACGAACAGUGACAAAAUAACGGGCGGUGAACAAACACCUUUACCGCGUCACCCUAGCGACCCAGCUUCGGCGAAUGAGCUUCAACCGAAGCUGCGCCGACAUAGCUUCGCUGGAGGCUGGGAAGAGCAAUGUACGUAAUUGCGGCCGACUCCAACUGCGCAAGCUACCGGGCCCGGGUACCCUGGCAUACCGCCAGCUCCAGUCUUAGCUGCUUCGGUGGAAUGCCGUUACCGAGCGGCUUGAGGGCUCGUCGCCAAUCGGGAAGGGCACUUUGUGUUUGUGAGGUUUUGACAACGGCACUAGCACAGCAUAUCCUGUGGAAGCGUAGGGAAUGCACAACUCAAACAUGAGUUGUAUCAUGAGUCGGGAAAGAAACGUGCGAUGAACCGUAUGAAGAAAAUACGAAGCGGUUGUGAAUUGUACUACCAGCCAUGAGGCAUCUCAUACCCCCAAGUUCAUGAGAAAAUGCCAAGAUGGCAUAGUACGAGUGAAUAGUAGAAAAGGCACUAUUUAAAAAUCAUACCUUAGAUCGGCAAUGAUUAUACUCUGUUUAUGCUUGCUCAGCCUAUGAAGCAACCUACUCUUUUAUAUCUUUUGAAUGAUACGUUAAUGGGAUAAACACGGGAUUAUAAAAGUCUAUAAUGUCAUACGCUCAACACGACUUGUGACCAAAAAGAAGCUGAUGAAACUGAUCUAUUACUCCGCUAACCGCUCCUUCUCUUUUAGUCGCCUUUAUACGAAGAAAAGAGCCCCUUACUAAUGAACCCAAACUGGAGAGUGGGCCGACAGGCAUUCCGGCGACGCUUCCAUUUUUAAAAAGCAACUCAUAAGCGCAUAUUAACAAAGUAGAGAGGACAAAAGACUUGGUAAAACGCAGAUAAAAAUCCGGCGAGCUUUAAUGCCAUACCCAGGCUCUCCGAGAGGAGACCAAACACCGGUUUGUCUAAUAGUGUGAGACGAACUUCGAAGUAACCGCCUAAACUCAUUUUUUCUCCAUCGAAAAGUGGGAACCAAUAUACAUUGAAACGAGACACUAUAAGGCUUUAAUCACUUUCCUCAGCCUUACACUCCACACUGGUAAAUGUCAUACAUGUCAUCAAUUCUCUAUGGACUUCAUAUAGAGAGAAAGGCUCUUGUAAUUUGUUAAAAGGUCAUGGGUUCGAAGACAACUUCUAAUGUACAUGGAAAUAGAAAUCUUUUAAAGUUAAAAUAUACUAUAAAGUCGUUGGAACGCCUCUCUUCUCUUACGUACUAAAAUGAGUAGACACCAAGAGAUAUUUACUGGUAUUAAAGAAUUAACAUUGGUUUCCUCCGGCGAAAAUUCACAUCCAUUAUUAUUCUCUUCGUAUUUACUACAACUACCGUUCCAUCGACAAGAUAGCUUGUCAACGAACGUAAAUUAAAUAAACCAAAGACACCUUUCUUAAAAGUAAAUACAACGAAAAGAAACAAAACAAUAAAAAGGUAGGUUCAGUAUCAUUGACUUACAACUAAUAAGUCCUUACACAAGAAACGGGAUGACCAAAAAGACGGUUGUACAGGAAGUAGAGACGUAAUCCUUCAUAAUCGAGGGAAAACCGAGAAUCUUCCUACGGCAGACUAUUGCUGUUUUAUCGUUAUAAGAGUCUGCGAGAGUUGGUACGUAGUUAUUAACUACCCUAGGCGCAGCGACUCGCAGUUGUUCUUCACGUUGAAAAAUAAAUAUCGGUGGCACUGUACUCGGUAGAGCUAAGGUAAGACAUACACAAAAUGAUCAAUCGGGCAUUAGAAGUAAUUAUUAGUUACAACAAGAAGUACUAACGUAUCGAUACAAUAUGGCGUCUAGUGUAACAGGCUACCUUUUCUUCCAACAGUAGUGGCUGUCCAUUCAACACGGCCGAUGUCUAUUAGUCCCACUUCUAUCCCGAAUAGGUCUCUAUAUUAUGUCACCAAAUUUUAAUAGAGACGACGUACCGCCGGACAUUUUAAGAAUUAGGAGGUCAAAGAGCUUCGUGCAUUGAAUACGAAUGAUGCUUAAACAACACGUCGGAUAAGUCGUACCUACCUCAGAAACGAGGUUACGGGCUUGAACAACGGGAAGCAUUCUUCGUACCCAAAGAAAACCAUUAACUACUACAUUCAGAUCGGAGAUGAUAAUAAAAGAAAAAAAACCGAGGGGAUUAGAGGAAUACACGUUAGUUUAUCUUCACUAACGCAUAUAGACUUUCUUCGAAGAAGUCCGAGUGCCUUGUGAUCAAACACCACUCUUACCGCCACCACAACGCCUUGAGAAACUUACAGUUUUACUUCAGCUGUAUACGUAUCCAUCAAACUCGUUUCGACAACCAACGGAGCCACCUAAGUAGCGCACGUCCAUGUUCAAAAAAAAAAAAAAAAAAAAAAAAAACCCCCCCCCCCCCCACAGGAAGUUCUUCAUUAGUUCAUGCUCUUGAGAUAUAACGACUUUGUAGUUUCAUAAACAAAGUUUCCUAACAUUUUUAUAACGCGUCUAUGGUAUGUAGGAAACAUUUUAACCGUAGUAUUUAUUUUAGACAAAAGACAACUAAACACGAAGUUAUUCGUGCAAAGAAAAAUAUAUAUUUAUAAAGGUUAGAUCUAACAAGGAUUACACGAUGAAAAGUACAACUUGAACGGCUUGUCGUUCUAUACCUUCGUCGAUUAUGAUGGUUCCCCCGCGUACAUACAUAUAAGUUGCCAAUAGGGUCACGGGGAACGACGACGACGUAUACCAUAAACGACGUACGAAUUGUGUAAGAGUAAAUACGUGCUUAAGCAAACACUUUUAAAAGACAGCAGCAGAGGAAGAUACGUCUAUGGGAGGACAAUUCUAGGUUGGUUUUCUACAAAGUGAACGAUCUUAUUAAUGAUUAGAGAAAUAGAAAUGGACGACCAUUCAAAAAUCGACUCCUAGACAUUGAGCCACUGGAGAGUUCUUGACAACCCGAGAGGACGACACAUAACUAUUUGUUAUUGAUCACGGUAUAUCCUCCUGAUUUACUUACGUAGAGAAACGUUAGUAUAUUAACAUACAUACUUCUGUGUGACACAAUUUAACGUCGAAGAGAGUAACACCGUUCUUUCCUUUUUACCGCGUCCAGCCGUGAAACCUCGGCUCACGUUCUUAAGUUGAGAAAUUGGGUUGUAUUACGUUCAUCAGGAUAUUAAAGAGACCAUGAUCCCUCACUUCGUCGUCGUUAUUCCCGACGCUCCAAAAAGAAGAUAGGAAUUGGAAGUAAAGGAAGAGGCAUUUCGAAUAGUAGAUUCGAAGUACGCUCACUCUAGAGCAACAACAGCAUUUAGUCCGUAUACGACUCAAGACCAAAAGUACACUAACGUUAGUCUGGUGGAGUUCAAGGAGGUUUGAGUACGUCCAUUGAGCUUAAGAGGUAGGCUACAAAAAGAGAAUUACUUCAACUUACAAGCUUUGAAGAUGGCAUUAAAUACUAGACGACGUCCAAUGCCCAAUCAGAGUCGCGAAGAGUAAGCAGUCGCCUAUAACUUUCCGAAUAACGACGUAAUAGGAGGACAUAAUUUAAGGGCGAAAAGCCGUUGUUACUGGCACGUCAAAGCUUCGAGAUUGAAUACUUUCAUGAAAGCAGCGGAGGUUCCUUCGGCAACUUACGUGUUGAGAAAAGUUUAUGGAAGUACCCAAUAAUAUUAUAGGCCUCAACAUGUUAUUCCGACAAUAAACUCGGUUAAGCCUCAACAGGUUAUUCCGACAAUAAACUCGGUUAAACACAGAGUUAAUACAAAUAACCUAAGACUCAUCAGUAAACUAAACAAAAUCUGUAAACCUCUAACUAAAAUAAAGUUAACUUUACACUCUAAACCCAAGUGGAAGGUAUAGUCAUUGGGUUUUAAUAUGAUGUAUGCAUCAUCUUAAGCCGAGUCUACAUUCCACGUGAUUGUUUAAUUACUUGGUAAUAAUGUUGUUGCUCUACUCGAUUAGUAGUCAAGACUAUUCGAGAAGUUUAGAAAUACAAGAGUUGUGAGAGCCUCUAUGUCAAACAAAGUUACUAAGAUAGGCAGUUAAUGUUGUUGUUUCCUGUGUUGUAUACAUUGUUUGUACAUCGCUAAAAAAGAGAAACAUUCAAAAUCGACAUCGCUCCCUGCAUGUAGGCCCGGGUCUCCACGAAAGGAAACUAGUGCUUGAACCGCCAGGCGACCGGCAACUCGUGGUGGCGCUGGUAGCUUCGCGAGCAUUUGUGGUUGGCGGGCAUGUAGCCGCCGACGGGGCCGCCACGAGAGAGAUAGUAGUGGUGGAGGUGCGUACCGGGUAUAGAGGAUGGUAUACAUAUCAGGUAUAUAUGUACCUUAUGUUGUUCUAAACUCUUAAAUAAUGUACGUGAACUUAACCGUAUAAUACUCGGUACGUGGAUCACUAGAUGGUAAAUUUUGUUUAAUAUCUAAAAAAUUUUUUUAAGUUUGUUUAGUUGAAGUAUUUAAACAUUUUUUAGCCACGGACAUGGUGUGGGUAGAGUAUUAAUAGAAUAGAGUACGAAAUUAGAGGCACUUAAUUACUCAACGUAUAAAAGGCAUUACUGAAAAUGUCAACUUUAUUUAACCUAUCAACCUGGUUUUCAGUUUUUUUGAGAGAAAAAAUGACACAAAAUUCAGCUCAUAUAUAUAGCUGUACGUAUGAGCAUUUACUAAUCGUACCCAUCGCGUCGCAAGUUUAGCAAUGUAGUAAAUGAACCGUACUUCUAAUUUACCCCUUAUUAAAUUAAUAUAUCGAGGAAUUUUGGUGCUCUAGGCAGCAAAUAAAGUGAAAUUUUAGACUUGUCUAUUGCUUGUGCAUCUCACAUGCCAGAUGAUAGUUCAGGAAUCAGUUUACACGAGCUGUGAUAGUCAGUAAAUGCACGGGUAUUUACGCGUACGUGCAAGUAAAAGAAAAUUUGGUGCGUAUUUUUACAUUCAUACAACAACACUUAAUAUACAGCGUACUAGUCUACGUCUUUUAUUAAAGGGGCCCUCAAUAAACACACGUUUUUUAAGAUGAUGAGUGCUUAAUUUCUUGAGCCGAUAUAGGAGAGAUGACUAUCCUAUAGGGGACCUCUUCCACUACUUGUACCUGGAGACUAGGAGGCCGCUCACCAAGUUGGGGCCUCGGGUGCCGGAGCGGUAGCCCAAGUUGUGGCUGUUGGCGCUGGGCUAACCCCAGCUCGAGCAGGGGAGGGGCUUGGGCGAGCUGUAGCGCACGUGCAAUAGGCCUGCGAGACGUAGGGAGCGGUGGGAGAGGUAGUCGAGCAGUAGCUUCUAAUGGAGCGUGUGUAACAGCUUCUUCAUCGCGUGGGGGCGCCGGCGGAGCGAGAACACCAUAAGCUUCUUGGCGUUCAGGUGCCCGAGGCUAUACUCCCUCAACCACCUGCCAUCGACCAGCAGCUGAACACGCCCCAGCUAGCCCGCCGGCCUCUCCGCCGACUCCGUGCGGGUCCGGAGUCGCUCCUUCGCCGCCUGCUGCAGCAGCAGCGCCAUCCGGCUGUGCACGGCCUACUUGAGCACCACCGGCUACCUGAGCUUGGUCUCGGUGUCGCGGUACUGGGUAAACUAGGCCAGGACCAGGACGGGGUCGACGUGGUGGUCCGCCACCUUUUUCAGGGAGAGGACGAACACCUUCUCGAAUUCUAGCUCCCCCGAAUCCAACCCAGAUUGGUACCGGCACAUGUACACGCGCAUCAAUCUCUUUCUCUCUCUCUCUCUCUCUCUCUCUCUCUCUCUCCCUCUCUCUCUCUCUCAAUAUCACAAAUAAAUAAAUAAAUACAUGAUCUAAACAUGAGUCGUUUACGUCACCCGAAGCUUGCAAUUAUGAACGGUAAAACCCCUUCACUUAGGUUCUCCUACCUACGAACCAGGGUUUGUUCAACCGCGGGCGCGUGUGCACAGCGGUAGGCUAACCACAACGUACCGGUGGAGGGUACGUUGGGGGGCCCUUUUCCGCGCCUCGUGCUUGAAGUUUCGCGACCGGGGUUCGCAGCGUAGGCCCCUCUCUCUCUCUCUCUCUCUCUCUCUCUCUCUCUCUCUCUCUCCUGUGCAUGGUUUCGCAGGGCGCUGCGUGAUGUUUAUGUUGCGGCUGGGUUUGGGGUAAACGCGGUAAUUUUGUUCAAUGCAUGCCAUGGAAAUGUUGUUACCGAGGAGAGCACUCUCUAUAUAACCGGAAAGUGUUUUAGCUGGCGCGAAACAUACUGUUCAAGCAGCGGGUGCCUUGUUUGGGCGUUGAGCGCGCAUUGCACCAAUGCGACUAGUACACCGAGCUAAACUAGCCGUAGUUGUAGCAGCCGAAGUGCUCUCUCGAGGUUUUGGUGCGGCUCUAGCAGGCUAAGCACAGGCUCAGGCUCCACCAGGAGUUAACGGACGCGGUCCUGAGCGGCGGCGAAAGGGGGUUUCCGCCGCGGAUGCGCCUUUAUGGCUGGUAGAGAAGCGAGCGCUCUCUCAGGAAGCUGGAGGCGAAGAAGGAGAAGGUGGUCCUGUACCACCACGCCCCCGAGCGCGUUAACGAGCUGCCGCAGCCGUGACACUAGAAGCUGCUGCCGAACUUGCGCGACAAGACCCGGGUGCUCCGGCGACACUCCCGGCGCCUCCUCCUCCGGUCCACCUUUCCCAGUGCUGGCCACGAGGGGGGAGAGGGCGGGCUCAACCGCUUCGGGAUGAUGAGAGCGCCCGAGCGUGGCUACGGGCUGCUAACGGCCAGCUACAAGUAUUGGAAGAGCUUCCCCUUAGGGGACGCUUCCCUGCUUUAGCAUCUCAUAAAGUGACUCAUUCGAAAUAUAUAUAUUCAGUAUGAUUUAAAAAAAAAAGUGAACAUGAGCUAGCCACGUGGCGUAGAAUGGUUGGUAAGUAGAGUAGAGUAAACGUUGAAAUGUAUGCAUAUACAAAUAUAUAUUUGGUGAACCAUAUAUACGUACCAUUGUUAAUUUUACCCGUCCUCUACCCCCCUGACGUAUCUCGCCCACUACUACCUCUCCUGCGGCGGGCCUCACUGCGGCUACAUGCCCUCCUAGCACAAGUGCCCACUCAGCAAGUAGCCCGAGCACGAGUUGCCUCUCGCCGAGCAUUUCAAGUACUAGUUGCCUUCCGUUAACACCCGAGCAUUCAUGCACGGCGCUUAGUUGACUAGCAGCAGCAGCAGCGGCGGUACGUGUACGUGCGUACGUACUUAUAUUAACGUACCUUCAACGUCGCUUCUACAACUAAUUUGGCACGGAAAUCAAAGUUUCAAAUAUAGUUAAAAUAAGAAUUAAACGCUGACAUCAUUAAUCCAACACAAGAUCAAGAUGAGAAGCAAAAACCAAAUCACAACACCAACAACUGAGAUCAUCUCACACCAAUGAUCAAUACAGAGCAAUAUAUACAUGAACUUUUCACGGAAGAGCAUAAUUACUUGUUUAAUUAGAGCAUAAUUACUUGUUUAAUUUUAGUUUAAGAGGACGAUUUAACCAGCGUAAAAAGUAAAUCAAUAUGACAAUGUGUGCAAGCUAGUGAUGAACAGUACAGAGCAAUACAUGAACUUUUCACGGAAGAGCAUGUUUACUUGUUUGAUUUUAGUUUAACUAGAGGCUGAUUUAUAACCAGUGUUAAAAAUAAAUCAAUAUGACAAUGUGUAUAAGCUAGUGAUGCAGACUAGUGAUGCAUGAAUCAUAAAAAUCUUAUCAAAUUAGUUUAAAUAUUAAAAUAAUUUAAAACCCGGAGAUCAAUUAACAGCGGUGAUACACGAUAGUUAACUUAGUCUAAAUAAUACGUGCUUAGUUUAAAUAACUUAAAAACUAUCUAUAUCAAUUAAUAUUCUCCACUGGUUAAAGUUACUUAGCCCUAUUAAGCUUAAAGUUAUUGACUUAGGGAAAGUGAUCGAUACUAAGUGUGUUAAAUCUUAAGAACUUAGGUUAGUUUAAGUUAUUUGUUUAUUACUAGUACAAGAAGAUUUAGAAUAUUCGAACUCUUCAUUUAUUAACCAAACCAGUGUAUUUUAUGAUUAGAUUAGAUUUUUUCAAUUAAUUACUUUAAAUAUAAUAAUAUUUUGUUUGUUUUUCCUUUCUCGAGUACGCUGCAUUCACACCUGCUUAUGUAUUACUAUUGUUCAGUUUUCUCUUUCCAACCUGGUAAUCACCUAGAAGGUGUUUCUCUUUGCGAUGCAUGGUCACGUAGAUACCUAGAAGUACGCUUAAAAUAUAUUUUUAUCUUUGAACCCUACUUAAUUUACAUUUCAAAUUUGGAAUAAACAUCUACAUGUACAUCAUAAUGAAAAGUGUUUUAAAACGGUUUUUCUUAUAUUUUAAAGUAGAUCAGUUAUUUGAUGCGAUGGACAUGUAUAUAAAAAUCUGAUUCGUAUUUAGAUCGUGGGUGAAAAUGAUCAUAAUAGUUAUAGUUAAAAGCAAAUAUGAUUUUUAGUUACCUUACAUAUAAAUCGUAAAAAAUAAAUUUAUUAUGCUGUGCAGAGAUAAAGAAAUUUUUUUCUUUACCAGAGGUAGUUUGAUUCGAGUAACUACUCUCUCAAGAUGUAUCUUUAUACCAUUUUUGCAACCACUGCACAAUAUCAGUUUCCUUUUCUUUUUUUUUUUUUUUCAUUUUUUUCCAAAAAAAAAAGCAAGACAAAUCCUAAGAGAAGUAAGUUCACAUGGUUUGCGGGUUAACAAUAACGUGAACCACGUGGUGUAGUCGUACACGUGGUGAGCAAUUUCGUUAACCAUUAACAUAACUUAUGCGCUGAGUUUAAGGUGCUAGCCUAAACCGCUUGCGCCACGUGCCUAACUUCACCUCGUUGUCCACAUUGGUUAUUAAGUGCCAGUUUCCAGGGAAAGGGUAGGUUGCGAUAUAUAUAUAUAUAAUCACACACCGGUUUAACAAGUCUCGAAUUAAUAGUCUCCGUAGAUUCUACCACUUCCGCUAAUCUCAGAUACUCAAACCACCGGGGCUCCAUUUCGUUUAAUUCAUUAAUAAGGAGAGAACAAGAUGAUAAAAACAAGAAUCAUGUUCGCUAAUUAAUACAAAGGUAAAAAUACAAACAAAAAAGGAAAAAAACAAACUACUAAAUUUCCACAACUUUACCCUCCUGCACCUCUAACCUCUCGGGUCCCUCCCUCUCUAGGCUCAAUUCGUGUUUCGGUAACCACAGUUGAAGAGUCUACAAAUAAAGGCAUGUCCUUGAAUGUUUAGGCGUGGAAAAGGGAAAUGAGGACCAUUGUUUAAUUCUCUAAGAUUAUAUAUAAAGCCUAAUUUCAAUCGUAAAAACCAAAGAAAUUACGGAAAAACGUGGUUUAGUUUCAACAUGCACACUCGGAUUAAAUCAUUCAAUCAUCGCACCACCAUUCAAUAGUCUUCAAAUAAAACUCUAUUCUUCAAGCUCGGAAACAAACACAGCCACAUUAACGUCCGAGUUCAUCAGAGCUGGAAGUUUCACUCGCAUAAGUCUUCUAAAAAUCUACUUUAUGAAGCCUGUAAACCUUGGAUGUAUUCAACAGUUUUAUCCUUUUUUCUCUUUUACUUUUUAAUCACUCGCUCGGAUUAUCGUUAACUCCAAGCCAAAUCUGCAACCUUAUUCAAUAAGACUUGUUUAAAUAAACUACAUUUUAAAAGAAUAUUAAAACAAACCUACAGUAUUAUUCUAUAUGUUAUUAUUCAUUAAACCAUAUUUUUAAAAUAAUACAUUAGCUUUCUAUCCACCUACUAAAAACCGAAAAACUCUCUUAUAUAGUAGAUGCUUAUCGCAUAAAGUACAUGUUCAACUAAAUAGAAUAAGAUUUUUUUAUUGAACUUACGGCUUAUACAAAUAAGGUAAAAGCCGUGAUGUGGUGUACGCGUUGUUAUCUAUUAAAAGUACCCUACGCCAGUGAUCUAUUAAAUAAGACUUUGUCCGGACACAUUCGCUUUCAUCCUUCAAACUAGAAAACGAGAAAUCUUCUAGAAUUAUAAAUACUAAAUCAUUUCAUCGUGUAGAGUGAAUGUUCUAUUAAAUAAAAUAAGAUUUUUUUAUGUUAUAAAAAGUAAUUUAAAAAUUUUUUAUAAGACUCAUUGUAUAAACACGUAGGUAAGGUGUAAUUUAAACUAAUUAACAACUUACUUACUAGACUUUUAUUAUCCUUCCCUUCGGCGACCCCACCACCAACGCCACCGGGGCCCGGAUUGUUCGGGUUCUCAUCCCCUACACCACCGAAUGCGGCGACUGAAUAACCCGAGAAUACGCCUUCUCGUGUAAGAGGGACGUUCACAGCGACACGGGCAAGGUAGGCGGUAAGUAAAAUCGCAGCGACGUAGACGAAACGAGUUCCCGUACUGGCGAGUACACGACGAGGUAGCGCAAAAGUUCCAAUCUAAAAUAGAAAAGGGAUAAUAGGAAAAAAAUUUUUUUGAUAGAUAAAAUAAUCAUCCAAACUUUAAAAUUUAUACGAAAACGGCCAGACUCACUAGUCUAUCAAUACAUUGUCAAAUCUCUGUUUAAUAUGUAAAAUGGACGUUUUAUAAACGCAUCGUUCGAUGCAGAAGUUUUAAAUAGUCUUAUUAAAACUCUUCACAUUGUGUAUAUAUAUGUGGCGUACACUAGCAGUGAUCAGCUGAGAUUAGAUUAGGUUUAUGUGGCGUACACUAGCAGUGAUCAGCUGAGAUUAGAUUAGGUUCAUGAUUUAGUUACGUCCAGCUCGCUCCGGUGUGUUAAGAUCAGGUGCGACGCCGUCCACCUCAACCGACACAGUCACCCGCUUACGAAAUCCACGAUGGUAAUAUCCGUGUCAAAGAUGGCUUCUUUUUCGACGUGUUCGGUGUUUUCUACCUACGCCGGUACAUUAAUAUAUGUGUUUCCUCCUGAAACAACGUUUUCAGGUCCUCUAAUGGAGACCCUUUCCACAGUUACAACAUAUGCUAAGACAGCCUUUUCUAUGAACGGUCCACUUUAAGUAUGUUGAUUACUUAAAAAAACGAACAUUAAAAACAAUUUACAAUGUCAAAGAAAAAACCGAUUUAGAUUAAUUUGAUUCUACAUUUAUGUAAAACUAAGUAUGAUAGAGUGAGUGUGAUCCUUCAAGAGAGAAAGACGUCCCUAGAAAUCGGACGAGCCGCGGGGCUCCCGUGAACCAGACCAAGCCCGAUCGCAGCCCGCUUGGCCUAGGCCAAGUUAAAGCGCUAGAACGAGGCUUUAGAAAUAAAUAAUGACGACGCUCGCAGAAGUUAAUGUGAAGCUGAGCUCUCCUCGACGAGCUCAGUCGACCACUCCAGAAGAGAUUACAGCGUAGGCCCCAAAACGCUUAAGCCCAGUUGGUAUGGAUGGGAGAGAGACUUCGACGAGCUCGAGUACGCCUAGAGCUCCGUGCUUUUUGAAGCCCAAGGUAACAUGAUUAUGGACUAUUAAUCUCAACUUAUAACGUAACACUUGGAAUUAUCAACAAUCUCCCACAUAAACGAAUACAUUAUUCGAAUGCAAACAGUAAAAAGUAUAUCAUUCUUCAAGUUAUCGAAAUAAGAAGUUUAAAAUACCUCGUAUUAAAAAAGCAUAGAUUAAUUAGCAGUACACUGACUCUUCUGCUAAUUUAACUAUAAUAAACUGGAUUUACUAUGAUAAAUCUUGUCAAAUUUAUGUUUUUUUUUAGAAUAAUGCAUUAUUUUUAAAUUUUUUAGGUUUUAGUAAACAAAAAAAGGAGGUGAUCUUUGCAGAUGCACACCAAGUAGCUUGUAUUAUUAUUGUUUCUCUCUACUCGUGCCGCUCCCAGGAAAAGUUGGUUUCGCAAUUGGGAAAGGAGAGGUAGUUACGCGCCGCUGAUGAGUGAGGGUUUGGGCUUGAUUUUGGGAUGUGUAGUGAGGCUAGCUAGGCUCGAAGAAGUAGCAGCAGCAGCAGCAGCAGCAGCAGCAGCAGGAGGCGGUACCACUUCCACUAGGCGCAGGUGCUCGAGCCUCCUGGGCUCCACUCGCGUGAGGAGUAGGCGGAGGCGGCGAAUGAGGCAAAAGGCGUUUAGUCUAUAGGAAUGAAAACAAGAAGAAGAAAAAAAAAAAAACCUAAAUUACCACUCUUCCACAACUUCACCCUCCUCCACCUCUAACCCCUCGGGUUCCUCCCUCUCUAGGCUCACUUCUUGUUUCGCUAGCCGCAAUUAAAAUAGCUACAAAUAAAGGCAUUUCCCCAAAUAUUACGCGGAAACGGGAAAUGAGGUCCAUUCAAAAAAAAAAAAAUUAUUUAAGCGACGAGACCCUAAUCAAAAACAAAAAAAAAACCAUUAAAUGACAACAAAACUAAAACAUAUACGAACCUUAAAGAACCUUAACGUUCGUACAAAAGUUUGUUUUAGUUCCUUCUAACCACUUCUAAAAACAUACCAUCUUUAUUUUAAUCUCAUCUUAACUCUCCAGUCUCAAUCCUCCUAAGUGCUAAAGCGCGUUUGAUACCAUUCAUCAGCUUAAACAACUACCAUUAUUUCAAACUAAUAUCCUACUCCUCUUCUCCACUCAUCUUAAACAGCCGAGCAAAUGUAUACACAUCUAAGGAGUCUCUAGUUCUCGUAGUAGUUUAACCUCUUUACGAACUUAUUUCUCCUCAACCUGACCUUUCUUUCUACUCCACAAACAUCUACUCUCUACUCUAGGUGAGAAUAUUGGUGAAAUGUCACUAAACAACACAACAUUAUAAGUACUAGAUAACGUUUAUUAACAAUAUAUGUCUCCCGACCCAUUGCCAUACCUAAAAUUAUUGUUAUUUUAACGAAGGUGAAAUCUGGUGAAGACUUAAAAAUUAGGACAAGGAAUUCUAACACGUGAAGCCAUAGGUUUACUCAUCAAGUGGUAUAAGUAUACUGUGCAGCGUCGACGAUAAAUUCGUGGAGAAACAUCGUGAAGUUACACCCUAAGAUACCAUGAAUAAGACGUACGUUUAUCUACUACCUGAAGUAGCUUAAAACUAACGAAACAGAUCCAGAAUCUUUUAUAAUUUUUUAUAAAGAUUUAUUGAUUGGUCUCUUUUGAAAAUUCAAGAACAAAAGGAGUAUAAUCAUGAAGAAGACUGAAGACUCCCCUAAGACGUCAAAAGUGAGAAGUAAUUUUAUAAGACGUUGAGUUUAAGUCAUAUCAUGAAGUAUACUUUAAACAAGUAACUUUUUCUAGAUAAAAUACAUUAAUGAUAGAGUAAAAAAAAUCAAAAAAGAUUUAAGCUUACUACUUAUAGGUCCCUACCUUCGUCACCCUCAACACUGACGUCACCCGGGACCUAACUGCCCGGCGUUUCAUCCCCUACAGCAUCGUAUACGGCCAUUAGGCUACCCAAGAAUACGACUCCUCGUCUAGGAAGGCCGUUCACAACGUCAAGGACAGGGUAGAAGGUAACUGAAGUCACAACGUCGUCGACAAUACGAAUUCCCGUACUGACGAGUUCAAAAUGACGCGGCACAGAAGUUCCAGCUAAAAGAGGUGAGGACUCAAGAAUCUGGAGGAAAUUAGAUAAUUAUGAAAAAAUAGAGAAUAGGAAAUUCCAAGAAGAAUACAUUAUUUAUCAAGACUUGCCCAUGUCUUGACAGUCAUCACAACGUAGACAGAAAACCCCGAGAUGUUACGUCUUUAUGUGUAUUAAAUGUAGAGUUCUGGUCUAAUUAACAAGAAUAAGAAUAAUCUCUGAGUUAUUGAAGACAAGAGUGACUUCAGAAAAGUAAUCCGUGAGAAGUGGAUAUGAGGAGUCUCCCUAUAUGUGGUCGUAAAGUUUAAAAGAAUAUACGGACUUCAAAUUUCUUGAAAAUCACUCACCAUUAAAUACGUUAUCCUCAAGUAUCGGAACAGUAUACAUCGUACGAUGAACAAUUUCCAAGUUUCACUUAAAACCUCUACUUAGAGACAGUUAGAAUAAGAACGAAAUUAGUUACUAUUGGAAGACCUAUUAAGAUUUUCAAUAUUGACCGACUCAGAUAAAGAUUACGAUUACGUCCAACUCGCUCCGGUGUGUCAAGAGUAGGAUCGACGACGACCACCGCAACCAAGCAAUGAUACGGUCACCCGCUUACGGGAGCCCCGGUGGCAGUAACCGUGACAAAGUUUACUUCUCUUUCGACGAGUUCGACGAGUUCUACCUACGGUGGUACACUAUUAUAUAUGUUUCCUUCUGAAACUCCGGUUUCAGGUACUCUAGUGUAGACCCUUUCCUCAGUUACAACAGAUACUAAGACAACCUUUUCUGUGUAAGGUCCAUAUUAUAUAUUAGUUAAAAAAGUGUAAGUACAGAAGAGCUAGAAACAAUUUUGUCGGCAACAAGUUUAAGAUACGUAUUUUCUUAUCGGUUUCCACGGUGUAAAAAAUUUGUAAUUCGUCUGGAAAAGAAAGGGGGGACAAACCAGUGAAUAUCUAAACAAAGUUUAAAAUAUUAUUCAAGUUAAUGAUAAUUAACUUAAGGGAAUAUUUCACCUUCUCCCGUACGGGACGAGUUUGAAAGAAAACCAUUCUUCUUCAAAGAGGUAUUUACUAUACAUCUUAUGUUCAAUUUUCCCCUUUAGAUAAGACAUUACUCUAUUUUAGUGCUCAUUGAGAAUGUUCAUUCAAGACAAUACAUCUUUAGGAAUCGUACGAACCGCAGCGCUCCCAUAUACCAGUUAAAACCCGUCAGUAGCCCGUCCGGUCUAGGGUAGGGAAACUCACUAGAACGACGUUUUAGAAACAAGGAAUGAUCCGGCUCAGAUUACGUAAUGUGGAGAUGAGCGCUACUCAAUGAACUUAGACGUCCGCUCCAGAAACGUUUACAGCGUAGACCCCACGACGCAUAAGCGCACUUGGUAUGUAUAGGCGAUAGACUUCGUCGUGCACGAGUGCGUCUAGAGCUCCGCGCCUUUUGAAGUCCAAGGUAUCAUGAUAAAGGACUAUUGAUUUUCAUUAAUGAAACAUAAGUACACACGUAAGAUACCAAUAUAAGACUAUUAUUACGGAGCAUUCGAAUUUCUAAAUAAGAUAACACACAACCAAGGUUCACUAGUAUACUACAACCUGACCUUUCCUUUUUGUUUUUGAACUACUAGACUUCAUAAUGUUUUAUGGCUUUAGUAUCAACCUCUUACAUUGACGUAAACAUGUUAUAAUUAGAUAGCUGGUGAUACACAACAGAAAAUAGCGUUUCGUACAUUCAAGUUGUUAGUGAAUUAAGGAUAUGAUCAAUUGAACUUCUACGAAAGAUUACAUCACUAAUUCAACAUCAGCACCUCCGAAACUGAAGUUUUAAAACAAUACAAGGGUCUAUAUCACUUUUUAUACUACAAACGUUUAAAACAUAUAACCUGUUUCUUAACAUCGAAGACCUUCAAAAUUACUGAUCAUUGUUCAGUUCUAGAGACUGAAAUCACACCAUUAAAGUAAUAGAACAGCUGACCACUGUGACUCGAAUGUGGAAUGUAAUAAAAGGUCUUCAUAUAUCGUUAAAGGAAACUUCAAAGGGGGAUCAGGAAGUGGCAAAUAAAAGACUGUUUUUUGUUUUAUAUUUCAGUAAAAGCGCUUUCAUCUCGACGUAGAAAUAGUUUCAAUAUUUCAUCGUGAUAUUAAAAAGUGAUCUAGACCCUUAUAUGAGAGUAACCCACGCAUUAUAAAAAGUUUAACGAUUCUUUUAGUACGUUUAUUUUCUUCAGUGAAAAGAUCAGAACAGUUAAAAAACGAAAAGAAGAACUACGAAGAGAACACCAUUCCUAAAAAACUCACGGAGAGUUUACCAGAGGAGAUCUAACAAUAACUGUACAACAGGUUUAUUACACGGAAGGAAUUAGUUUUAAAAUAAUAUAGUACCCACAGUUACAUAAUAGUAAUACAGUUUUAAAAUAAUUUGCUUUUUCGGACACUCGUCUUCGAAGAUAUCGUCUAUAUAAAUGUUCCUCACCAACCUUCAAGAAAUAGCUUGAAACAUGAAAAAUUACGGAUGGUAAGUAAAUUCAAUAUGAAAAAAAAAAAAAUCAAAAUUUUAAUUCGAGGAAAGUAUAUCUUUAUCCGGAAUAAACCUAUAUUUUAUUGAAACGACAUGAAUAAAUCUAAAAGAAAAAUAAUAUAAUAUAUUGUGGUUUACUAACAACCCUACUAUAUAUAUCAAAAACACACGAUAAUCGCCGUGUAUCCGAAGGCACAAGAAUUUAGUAAAAACUACUACCUCAAAGAUUUAGAUGCUAGCCGAGGCAAUCUAAACUAGAUCACUUAAAUUUUAUGGAUCUUUUUAUUUAAAACACUAAGAUGCUACAGUUAAUGGAUUACUAACUUUCCCAAAUUUUAGUUGUUAAAAUCCAAUUAAAGUACGUUCAGGGAUGUUUAUAUCACUUAGCGUUUAUAUAAAGAUAUUUCAAGUUAAAAGUAUACAAUAGAGACGUUUUUAAGACUACAAAACUUUAUAUAAGGACGCCAAUCUUAGAUAAUUUUUUAAAAUUAAUUAGUAUCCAAUUUAUCAAUUGAAACCAAUCAAAAACUAUGAUAAAACUGAAAACCUCCCUGUAUAAACACUACCGUUUUAACUUUGCCAAGAAAUUGCCAUUGUUUGAUCUUCCUGUAUAAAUUUUUAUAAUCUUAAAAACAUUUUUGUUGUAUAUUUUCAACUUGAAACAUCUCUAUAAAUACAGUAAGUGAUAAUAAACGUCCCUGGACAUAUUUUAAUUAAGUUAUUAAAAAUUACCAAUACACAUAACAAACGUUCAAAUUGUUAUAUCUACAUAAAUUUAGCCUACUUUAAAACUAUCUUUUAAAAAAUAUGAUAGAUGUAGUUCUUAUUAUAAAAACUAGCUUUUAAAAUCAUAAUAUCGUAUUGAAAAACACGUUAAAAAAAAAAGUUGGCAACGAAAACUCAGUAAAAUUAAUAACCCAUUUAUUAUAACUUUUGAAUAUUUUAAAUAAAUCUAAUCUUCAUGCUUUUAGAGGCACGAGGAUUGUCGUGCUUGUGGAGUGAGAGAGAGAGAGAGAGAGAGAGAUGUAUGUAUAAAUAUAUAUGCCCAAAGUUUGUGGGAAUAACGUAAAGGGUAAGUACGCUUAAAACGCUAGGUGGACGACUUUAACAGCACCGUGCGCUGGUUGCCAGCGGCUGCGUGUCGUACAUACACUGCCAUGUGACAUGACGUCACGUGACAUGUGUGUGUGCGUCUCUCUGUUUUACUCGACCACUCGGGCCGAGUACCCGGAUGCUUCUCCUAUUCGGUGCCCGAGUCACGCGCCCCUGGCCCCAGAUGCCCGGGACCGAAGAAAACCGUGGACAGAGAGGAAAGUUGGAGUCGGAGAGAAUCUAGAAAAAAAAAAAAAAAUUUAAUAAAAAAAACAAUAAAAAUUUUAAAUAAAAGAAAUAAAAACCCGUUCCACUUUUCGUGAGUCCUCCGGGGGAGUUAAUAAAACGUUAGUAGGAGAGAGAGAGAGAGAGAGAGAGAGAGAGAGAGAGAGGAAAAAUAAAAAUCCUGUUAGGUGAUCAGAGAGUUUUCAAUUUCUAAAUUUAUAAAACCUUUUAAAAGAUUUGAGUACUUUAUUAUCCCGCAUUUUAACUAAAUUAUUACCAAGAGAUAUCAACUUACCCACCAACCAACUUAUUAUACUAAAUUGUCCACUUUUACUAGUUUUUUCAUUUAGAUCGCCAGCUUUUAAAUAUUUCAUGUUUUUCUGGAUAUGAGUAUUCUCAUAUCAUUAGUCUGAGAUAUGUAUGUCAGGUUUCUAUGGUGUGGAUAUAAUUAUUAGCUAUUUUUACUAUAAAUUUCUUUUGUUUCGUAGAAAAGAAGACUAUAAAAAAAUCGUCAACUAGAUAAACUUGCCUGACCAAAAUUUAAGUGAUUUUAAAAUUUGCGUCGAUUAAAAAAAAAUUUUUUUAGGUGUAGACUUUUCAUAUUUUUUAAUUGUUUUAUAUAAUUAAAAUCUUUUCAAAUUCAACCUUUCGGAGAAAGUCUUGUCACACCAGACAGAUAUAUACUCCCCAUUAGAGUAACGUAGGAAAGGUGAAAUUUUCAUCUAUUUUUCUUUUUUUUUUAACGUGUCUCUUCUCUCUCUCUCUCUCUCACUCUCUCUCUCUCUCUCUCUCUAAGGUCACCCGCGAGUGUUUCACCCUCGAGUGUUUCACGCAGGUGCAGAGGUAGGAGUUGCAGUGAAAAAUGACGUAAUUUUACUCGACACGAGGGUUUUGGGGAGAAGAGUGAGGAGAGAGGGGUGUUGGGGGGGGGGGAUUACAAUAAUAGUAUUAUUAUCAUGUGUGAGGUCAAAGGAGAAAUAAGAGGGAGAGAGAGAGAGAGGGAGAGAGAGAGAGAGAAAAAGAGAGAGAGAGAGAGAGAGAGAGAGAGAGAGAUAUAUAUAUAUAUAUAUAUACAUAUAAAGAGACAUCUCGAGUUGUUGUUGUUGUUCUCGUUCUCGUCCUCGUUCUCGUUCUUCUCGUUCUCGUUGUUACCGCCCCCCGUUUAAGCGCCCCCUCCCGCUUUACUCGCCGCCGAUGUUGCCGUCCUACUGCGGGAAGCAGCAGGAGAGGACGUACCAGCGGCGGUCGCCGCCUUAGGAGAAGCCGAUGCUGGAGCCUUAGAGGCCAUAGAUAAAAUAUAAUAUAAUAAUACUUAUAAGUAUAUUAUAAAUAAAUAUAAAUAUAUUUUAGAGUCUAAGUAAGCUGCCCGAGAAAAAAAAAAAAAAAAGAAAAAGAAGGAAAAAGAAGACUUAGAUCUUCUUUGAUUGAUUGAUUGAUUUUUCGUUAAUGAGGUUUUAAAUGAUUAAAAGAUAAAUUUGAGAUUUUAAUAAUUUUAUUAUUAUUAUUAUAAUAAUAAUAUAGAGGCUUACUAUUAAAAGGCAAAGUUAGGCGGUGUGUUAAAAUAAAAUAAAAUAAAAUAAAAUAAAAUAAAACAACUUUUCUUUUAAAACCAGUUAAGCCAACGAACCCGUACUGUUGAGUAUAAAAGUCGGCUUACUAAAUCGAACGACAGGAAAUGGAGGCACACACAGGAGCCGUCAACAACCCAGUGCUGGUUGGAGCGGUUUCACUUUUGAUACAUACAACACAAAAAUAAAUAUGACGAUAAAAAAAAAAAAGAAAAUGUUUAAUCGUUUUUGCACGCAUGUACGCAUGCACAUAAUUAUUCCUUCCACUUUCUUGACCCUUUCAUUUAUGAUAUAUAUGCAUGUCCCCUAGCUCCUCUGUAAACUAAUUAAUGGGCGUUAUUAAGACUUGAAAAAAAAAAUAAAUGUAGAGAAUAGAUAGAGUAGAUAGUUAAAAUCAACGAGAAUAAUUAUCGUAAUUAUAUAUAUAUGUAUAUAUAUCGUCUUAAUAACACGAAAAUCCUCAUGUCGUAAAGAACACAAAGAUUAAAAGAUUGUUAAAUAGUUUUAACUAUCUAUCAAUUUUUCAAUACUUGUGUUUUUGACGAUAUAAGAAUUAUGAUAUUAUUAGGACGUAUAUAUAUAUAUAUAACCACUCGAGCUGAGCAAAUCAUUAUCAUUAUCUACCUAUACUAAACCUACAUAUAUAUUGUGUACGUUAAUAUAUUCCACCCCACUGCAGCUACCUCCGCAAGGACUUCUCCAAGAAGGGCCUGCACAUGCCCUUCUACUCCCCGCUGUGGCUCUAGUCGUUGAUGACGUUCAAGCUGUCGGUCGAGGAGUGGCACAAGUGGAGCAGCGAGAUGCAGCGGCCGGAGCAGAGGUGAGAGCAGCGCAGGAGGCAGAGGUCGGCGAAGCCGGCGGCGUGCAGGUACGAGCAGCCGCCGCGGCACAAGCAGCGCCCUAGACGGUAGCCGCCCCGGCGCGAGUUGCAGAUGUACGAGUAGGAGCCGGCGCAGGAGGAGCCGCAGCCGGAGCCUAAGUGGUUGGUCCAGUUUUAAGAGAUAGUUAAUUGACAAACAAAAACAAAAAAAAAAAAAAAACUCUCUCUAUCUAUCGUGCGAUGGGCGAAACAAAUAAAGUAAAUCUUUAUUUGAAUCGAUCUUUAUACUUAGUUGAUCUUAAGCUUGAACUCAAAACUCAUGGUUGGUGGUUCAGGAAACGGUGAACGAGAUCCUUGCCAGCCAGAUAAUGAAUUGACAAUGUAAGUUGACAAAUGCACCUUUAUUUGUCGGUUUUAGACCCGAUUAAUCAUCGUUUGUUAAAUUCUUGUUGUUGAAUUAACUGCAUAUGGGCGUGGUUAUGAAAAUAACGUCCUUUCCUUAUUUGGAAUCGACAUCAAAGAACUUGAAAGACAUACAACGAAAACUGAGGUCUAUUGAGGUCUAUUGAGGUUAAAUUCAGGGAUGACUCCUUCGCGCAAACCAAGUCUUAACUGAGGUCUUUUGAGGUUAGAUUCAGGAUGACACAUUCGCACAAACCAAGUUUUAUCUUUAGGACUACGUUUAUCCUUACCUUACUUAGUUUUACUUUGUGCCUUGUUACCUUAGAGGACUAAAUAAACCAAGUAUUAUCUUUAACUUUAGCCUUAGCUGAGUAAUUAAUUACAACAACAAACUAACUCGUUUUCAAGUUAAGUUCAAGUUUCAAUUUUAAGUUAUUUUCGUAUUGAUUUAAGUUUUAUAAUGUGAAAAUUUUUGAUUUCGAACUUAAAAAUUUAGGUAUAAAGUCUAAGUUCGAACUUUAAUAUAAAAAUAAGUUUGAAACCUCCCUAAGCUAAAGGGAGCCUUACCUUGUGAGUCUUAUAGUUAAAGAGUUAGGUUUGUAGUGGGUACUGUUACCGAGUAGGGCUAGAAGUAAGGUUCGGAGUUUAGGGAGUUUAGUUUGCACGGGAUUUUCGGUUCCUUAUUUCAAACUAGGUUUUUUUGUUGGUGGCAUGUAUGAAUGUAGCGCUUUGACCUGGUAGUUACGAAAUAGGGCGCCUAAAACAAAGGUCAAGUAUUAAAGUUUAUUACACGCAUCUGAUAACCCUUGACGGUAACAGAAACAAUCGGUAUUGAAGUUCUGCCUCUUUCGUAACUGAACUGGGGCAGUACUUCAGCGACCUUUUCUAGGUUCUCUUUUCAGAGGGACAAGUGAGAUAAAUCAUCGUGAUAGUUGACUGAGUAAUGGUGUAUGGACUUAAAGUUUCCACCGAUGACUCCGUGACCCUUGCAAAAGGUGUCCAAAGUAGUCUCGGGAGGAGGUAUUUGACAAGUGUGAAUGCGGUAAGGUGAACUUCAUGGCAGUGCGCCUCUUAUACAAUCGAAAUACUUAAACCUUGUUGUAUCUAGAACAUAUCAACAUGUGGUUUAAGAUUUACGGAACUUUGUAAAUAUAGAACAAUUCCAUAAGAAAUACUUGUUGACAUCCUUCUUCUUUCUUUCGUUUAGAUCUGUGAAUAUAGAACUAUUCCUUUUUCUUUUUACUAUAUUACUUUAGCAUGCUUCCUGAUCAUACUACCCAUGAAUGCGUUGAUUAUAUUGUGUCUAUUUUCGAGUCUCUUUUCUUUCUUUUAACAACAAUCUUGUUGACGUUGUCAUUUAGGUACUCAUCUUUAUGGAAAUAAACUAGAAGACUGCAGAAAAAGCCUCGUUAUGGUUGGCCAUCAAUAUGGUUCGAUGAGUCGUCGUGGACGUGAUACCACUUUUGUGAUGAAAAAGUUUCUUAAACGUACCAGAUUAUAUUAAAGGACGCAUUUUUAAUGGACGUAUCUCAACUUGAUUUACGGCUUGAUUGUGAUAACAGCCGAGAGCGUCAGCUAAGGAGAUAUGGACAGCCUUUACCGAGGUGGCGUUAUGGCUCCUCGUAAGUCGUUGCGCAAGCUUGAGACGUAGUCGGAGCCCUAGGAGUAGCGUUUGGACCAGUUGAUGCCGCAGGUUUCUUAACUCCCUCCUACCCCAACCGCUUAUAGGAAUAGGAAUCGGCGUCAAGGGCGAAGCAAAGAUCGUAAGCCGCGGGAGAAGGAGGGGCUCUGCGGGUCGUUGCAUGAGGUUGCGUCGCGGCUGGUGUUGGUCCGAUUCCACGAAGAGGUUUCCGAGGCUCCGUGAAGGUUGCACGUCUUUCUCGAGCUGCUAAACUAGAGGCGCUCGCGCCAAAGCUCUUGGUAGGCGGUGGGCAAGGCCUUGUAUUGGUUUUCCUUCAUGUCCGGGGUCGAACAGUACCGUUAGGAUUAGGGGAAAAAAUUGGUCUAGUGGCCUUAGUUGCAGUAGUUGAAGAUGCGCGGACAGUACAAAGCCUGGUAGCCCGAUUUCCUCUCGUGGAGCGAGUACAGCUGCCACCACUGCUCUUAAAAGCGCUGCUGGUCGUUGCAGUAGCGCUAUCAGCGCCAGCUGUCUAACCCGGCUGCCCAUAACAAGUAGCACCCUCCCUAAGUCUACUAUUAGAGCGUCAAGUGGUAGCCGCACUAGAACCGCUUCGUUGAGUUUCUGGUGCCCCCUUACCUUUCCCUGAUGCGUAUGAACCACGACUGGAAGUACACGUAGAAGCAGUGGCCUAAGCCCACCAGCACCCCCGGCAAUUGCAUGAACCAGGGCUGCCUCUAGAGCGGCGACCUCUAGUCCAGCCGCCCCGUCUCGUAGCACCACCGCCACUACAAAUACCACUGCAAGCACUAUCCGGUUUGUAAGGACCGGUACGACACGGUAGAGUUCAUGCCCUGGAAGGAAGAUAAGCCCCCCACCCACACACACUACUGCCACAAGCACAUAAAGGACAACGGCCUCUGCUUCUUCUAUGGCUACCUCGUCUACCUCGUCCACACCUCCGCCGUAACCAAGACCUUCUCCCAACAGCCCCUCCUUCCUCACCUCCACGCUUGCCACCUCCGGCGCUUAAACAGCUUGGGCUUGUGCUUGGGCUUGGGUUUGAUCACUCUUCCCCACCCACCACAAACACAAACUCGACGUUUGUUACCUCGUGAGGAAAAUCGACAUAGAAAGUUUAAACGACGUAGUACAUUCGAAGUCUAUCAACGACGAUGGUUACAAACGAGCAGUACUUGUUCGUACAUUCUAUUCGUUUAGUUUAACCGUUGUUUUCCGUUUUAUUAAGACGCGAGUCCCUUAACUUGCCUUACGCUCGUUAAUAUGAUGUGUCUAUCUUCACCGCUCUAAAAGUAACUAUAAAGUGCUUUUUAGUCUUUUUUUUUUUUCUCUUUCUUUAUGGAACGGUUAAUUAAUUAAUUAGCACAUUAUAAAGUGCGAGCGAGAGUAGUAGUAUUGGUUUUUUUUAUCGAACCUUAAAUCGUCUAAUUCCGCGUUAAUCGUGUCCACUUGCUUAUUUUCCCGUGCCCUUUACCCUAGCAAGCUCUUGGGAUGGAGUAAUAGCAGCUAGAGCCGUACGGCUAACUCCCCUAAACUUCCUCUUUGGAAUUAAACUUCCCUCUAAUCCCGAACAUUAGCCUAAGGUACCUUUAAUAAUAAUCCCAAUGACCCCUUCUUCUUUCCUCUCUCUCCUCAACCCUCCCCAGCUUGACAUGGAGUUAUUAAAACGCUUUUCCUUUGAACUUAACUUGUGCCCUUUUCGCCCUGCGUUUUUCAUGCACGUAUAUAUAUCCCAGCCACAUAAUUAUUUUGACCACAUAUGGGGAAAAUGAAGUCAAAAAAAAAAAAAAAAAAAAGAGCGGAGGACUCCGGUACAACAGUGUGGGUACAUCAAAUUAAGUGGAAAAAUAACUUACUUCGCCCAUCACAGGAUGGGUAAGGAGAAUUUUUUAUUAUUAUUAUUAUUUUGACCACAUCUUUAUGCGCAGGGUGACAAAUCAUUGCAAACUAGAGGAACCGAAUCGUUCCCCAUAAAAGUGUUUUUAGGUAGUUUAUUGAAGAAUAAUGUAAAUGUUCGUUUUCGUGGCCAAAGUUUAAUCUUGAUUUUAUACUACCUAGAAGCCUUCGCAAUGUAUACGAAAAAGAGGUCAAAAGGCAUAUCACUAGCGUGUUUUAUUCGGGUCUUUCUAUUUAAUUAUUCGUAAUUCUACUAUAAAAUUAAAAUUAUUGUUUCUUUUGCCUUUUAUGGUCCUGGAGAUAGUCCUUCCGGAACAUAGACGAUCAAAACUCAAGGCUCUAGAGUAGUGGCGUACGUAAAUGGGGGAAGUAAACGGGUUUAAUGAUACGUUUGAUGUGCUUCAACGUCGUAUAUUGUGCAAUUUUACAUUUAAACAUUUUCUUUUUAUCGUGGACUAGCGGAUUAUACUGAUCGUCAAAGUUACCUUCGUUGUAAUCAUUCACCGUUGUAACAAUCAGUGAAAUUAUUGAAUGAUACAGUAAUGUUUAAAAGGAUCAUUUUUCUUUAUCUACUAUAUUUGAAUUUGUCAACCGGAGUUUUGUGUCAAUUAGUACAUAUUUGUUGUUUCCCCACUUCGAAUAGAAGUGGUACAGCCGGAAGCUUCCUAGACUAUAGUACGAACUCGGGAACAAACGCCUAAUCGUACCUUUCGGCUAGCGGAUAAACUUAAUAGCUCGUUUAAAUUACUACAGCUGCUGAGUCGUCUAAGAGAAAACCUAAGAGGAUACGAAUCAGAACUGUAUGGGUGCUCAAGCAGCUGCAAAUAGCCUCGGAACCUUUCGUGACCUCAACCGAAUUGCUAGAGUACGCAGAGGGCAAGGUUGCAUAGACAAAAUAUUGGACCACCGGUAUCUCCCUCGCUCUUGCCUUAUUUGCCGCCUUUUAUUCGGCCGUGAUAAUGACCUAUUGACGUGACUCCUAAGAGGUUUGAACCUUGUCGGCGGAGAGGCUGGUAACUUCCCGAUCUCAGGUAACUAAGCGUAACGAGUAGUUACCGGCCUCCAUUUUCGACAACUAGCAAAAGAACACAGAGACCAAGAACUGAACGACCUUGACCGACUUUCAGUUACCCGACUUUUUGCCUUCUUUGCUGUCUUUUUAAGCAUUUGUAAUGUUCUUUUCGUAAUGAAUGUAUAUAGUCGUUAGUUGAGGGUUAAGGUUUGUUUUUUUGAAGGGAUAAAUAUCAUUCCUCACUUUUGUUCAACGAUUUAUGACGUCUAGAGACUUUGUUUCUUUCGUUAGGCUUAAACGUUCCUGUUACUUCUGGUCUUUUUCGAAUAAAUAACGUAUAAAAACGCAACCAAAUCUUUUUAUCUUUCUCUAUCCCUUUUUGAUUGGAGCAGUCCAUGGUAUAGUUUUUCCGAUCUAGAGGAGAAAGAAGACCAGUACAACCAAACUGCAUACUUCAUAAAAA
rnacentral:lncRNA from 1 species